GACAGGAAAACUGCAUGAACGGAACUGGGGAAUCUGGUAGACAGAGAAAGGGGGAGAGUACUGACACGAUAUGGGAUUGCAACCAAUGUCAUGAAACAAUUUGUGCAUAGAUUUUUGAACGAGAAACUAACUUGCUCUGUAAGCUUUCACUUAAAGUGCACACACAGACACACACACCGAGACACACAAAUUACAGCCAAGAAAACCCGAUAGAGCUCAGUUCUACUCUGUAACGCACGGGGUGGCCAUGAGCAGGAUUCAGCUUGAAAGCAAUAAAACGUUUUAGGUUUUUUUUGUGUGUGGGGGGGGGGUGGUGGUUUCAACCUCAGAUUCCUCAUCUACAAAUAAGGGAGUAAUAAUACCUGCCGGCUGCGAAGUCGGGUGAGGGAGAAAUGGUGGCAGCUUGUUUACGAUAGAUACAAUAGCUGCCGAGAAAAGCUUCUCUUACUUCCGCCCUUAAAGAGCUUAGGGGCUAACAGAUAAGAGCAGGUUCUGCGAUAACCAUCGCCAAUGGAGACUGGAAUACGAGUGGAACUAGCCGUGUGAAGCGUGCCAAGGCUGCCUUUUGUGGCUGGUUGCAUCUGAAACAGUUGCAGUCUUCCAACAAGGGCCUAUUCCCCUGAGAUAGGCCCACACUGGUUCAUGCACGGGGGAAAGGUAUUCAAAGUCCACGGACCGUUUAUGCCUGGACAGGAGCUGCUUCUGUCCUGAGCUCCCAGGCUUUGUUGUAAGAGGUUUCACCGGAAGCAUGUGACUACUGUGCCAUCUUGGCCCCGCCAAGCUUUAGCUUGGUGCAAAUCAACAAACAUGUUUCAGGAGGAAGAAAAGUUAUUUAGGAACCUGACAGCAGUUGAAGAUGGCUGGAGUGUAGAGUGCAAGGUGUUCUCUGUUGAGAAGAGGUUUCCCAUGUGUUGGAGAUACGUAUCUGUCAUGGAUUGAAUUAUGUCACCCCAAAAUGUGUGUAUUAGUUUGGCUGGGCCAUGAUUACCAGUGUUGUGUGACUUUCCUUGUUGUAAACCCUGCCUCUGUGAUGUUAAUGAGGGAGGAUGGGCGGCAGUUGUGUUAGUGAGGCAGGACUCAAUCUACAAGACUAGAUUGUGUCUUGAGGCAAUCUCUUGAGAUAUAAAAGGGAUUAGCUAGCAGAGGGAUGGAGGACCCCAUACCACCAAGAAAGCAGUGCUGGGAGCAGAGCGCAUCCUUCAGACCUGAGGUCCCUGCGCAGAGAGGGGGAAGAUUGACGAGAACGCCUACAGAGACAAAGCCUUCCCCUGGAGCUGACACCCUGAAUUUGGACAUUUAAGCUUCUUUACCAGGAGGAAAUAAACUUCUCUUUGUUAAAGCUAUCCAUUUGUGGUAUUUCUGUUACAGCAGCACUAGACGACUAAGACAGCAUCUUUGAACAAUACUUAGCUGAUCUGUAUGAAAAUGAUCAGAAGUGGAAUGUACAUAAGACAGGGAGCAAAGGCCCUGAGACUGGAGGGUGCCUGUUUGAGAAACAGCGAAAAGACUGGUGUGGUUAGAGGAGAAGCAAGUAAAAGAGAAAUAGAGGAUACUACCAGGGAUUUUUUUUUUAUCAGGGAGGUAAUAGGGGUUUGGGUGUGGAACUUAGGAACUUAUUAAGACAAGGAACGGAGUGGCCCCCAAAUCUGUAAACAAAGAAAUAAGAACAGAGCCAGGGCCCAGAAACAAAGCCAUUCCCCAGAACAAUGGGGCAGGGCAUCUAAAAAUAGCCAGCAAACUUCUUUAAAGUUGCCUUUCAGAGGCAGCUGGAGAAAACCAGGCCCAGGGACAUGGGCAGAACAUCCACCCGUGACCACCGUGUGACCUUCCACCAGGGGCAGUGAGGGGUUACAGCUCCAGCUGGGGAAUCGAACCAGGGGAGUGAGAGACUGCACAAGCGCAACACCCUAUAAUAAGUCCUGCUACGAAUCCCAGGGGCCUCCAGGACAGGAGCCAUCUUGGAGAGCUGCUGCGUGUACACCUUAGUUAACAUAUCCCCGCCUGUGUCUAUGAAUAAACAUGAAUCUUUUCAAGCCCAAGAACUUUUAAAAACUCAGGCCCAUCUUCAGUUCUGUGAGAUGAGGGUAAGCAUUGCUCUAGGCCCUCCUCGUCUCCGCUUGCAAGCCUCUUCAAUAAAGCUUUGCUCAUGUGGCAAACUACAUGCCUUACCUUCUCAUUCUUGACCAGAAAGAGGCAAGAAUCUUAUUCCGGUAACAUACAGACAAAUUGAAAUAUCGAGCUAUACUUAUUUCACUGAAAAUAAGUUGAUCAAACUUUAUCAUUUAUUAAGUUUAUUCAUUCUUCACAUGUUGUUUUUGGCAUAAUACGGUAGGUUGCCCUUUCUUGUGUUAACAUAUUUUGAGAUGUGACGCGCUAAAGAUGGAUUAAACUGAGCAACAAGGUCAAGUAAACCCCCCAAAAUUUCCAUUUUGUGGGGAACCAAAUGCUUUGUUUCUUCCUAAAAAAGAUAGUCCACCUUCAUCGAUUGUUACAAAUGACAGCAAUAAUGCACUGCAAAAAGGCUUUCUAAUACUGACGUUCUUCAUUAAUUUGUGUUUUUGGUUCAUGAGGUAAGCCAAAACUAUGUCUUCUGCUUAAAUAUGACACCAAUACAAUCUCUGUGAAUUAAACUGUUUUCAUGUUUAUCAUAUUCAAGUUGCACCAAUUUCUAAGUCCAUUGGAAAUCCUGGUGGUGUUGUGGUUAAGUGCUACUGUUGCUGGCCGAAAGGUCUGCAGUUCGAAUCCAUCAGGCGCUCCUUGGAAACUCUAUGGGGCAGUUCUAUUCUGCCCUAUAGCAUCGCUAUGAGUUGAAAUCGACUUGAUGGCAAAGGGUAUCCAUAGCAAACUGAGAAUUAAAUGACUCAGGGCUAAACAGUUUGCAAACAAAACAAUAUACAGAGCUGACGGAGAAUAUAGUAGCUGCUUCCUUGUAUAAUUUUCACCAUUAGCAUUGCACCCUAGAAAUGUAUUCUGGCUAUAGACCCUUGUUUGUUUACCAUCCAGAAAUUUUCUACAUGAAUUUUCAAAUGGUCCACUGUGAUGUUGACAAUCACUUGGCCCUCUUUUUUGAUCCAAUAAUUUAUAUCAUUACCAGAAAUACUAUUCCACAAAACAGGAUCUGUAUUUCUGUUAUUUAUGGGGUCUGCAAAUGUGACAAUUUCAGAUUCUAAAAUAGUUUAAUUUUCUAUGCCAUUAUUAAUUUUUUUAUUAUAGCAAGGGAUGGAUGCAGAAUUUGGAACAAAUUCUGUUAUAUUCAUAUUGCUAUUAGUAAUUUCAGCACUAGCAGUACUAGUACAACAAUUUGUACCCAUUAAACCCAAGCGUUCAAUGGAAGAAGUGUCUUCUCAUUCAUUAUGUUUAAUUUUGGAAUUGUCUUUAGGAAUUCACAUAUCCUUUUCUUUUUAUCUUCUGUGAGCUUUCAUUUUUGUGUUCCACUUAGUUGUAGCCAUUUUAUGUUACCUGGAUAUAAAAUUAUGUCACCUUUUAAAUUUGGUUCUACUGUAGCAAAUAUAAGACAGAAAACAGAGGGCCCCCCCAAAUCUGCAAACAAAGUAAAAAGAAAUAGGCCAGGGUACGGAAACAAAGCCAUUCCCCAGACCAAUGGGACAAGGUAUCAGAAACUAGCCUGCAAACUUCUUUAAAGUUGUCUUUCAGAAACAGCUGGAGAAAACCAGCCCCAGGGACCAGAACACACACCUGUGACCCCUGUGUGACCAUCCACCAGGGGCAGUGAGGGGCAGCAGCAGCAGCCGGGAGACUGCGCAGGCGCAACACCCCAUAAUAAGUUCUGCUACAAAUCCCAGAGGCCUCUGGGACAGGCGCCAUCUUAGAAAGCUGCUGCACACACACCUUAGUUAACAUAUCCCCACCUGUGCCUAUGAAUAAACAUGAAUCUUUUCCCACCCAAGAGCUUUUAAAAACCCAGGCCCAUCUUUUGUUCUGUGAGACAGGGGUAUGUUUUGCUUAGGCCCUCCUCGUCUCUGCUUGCAAGCCUCUUCAAUAAAGCUUUGCUCGUGUGGAAAACUCUACGUGACUUACUUGCUCAUUCUUGACCAGUGAGAGGCAAGAACCUUAUUCUGGUAACAAAUACAUUGAAUAAUCGAAAAAAAAAUUAUAAAGUAAAAAUUACAUUCAAAUUUGGAUGUUAACACAAAAGUUAUAUUUGAAAAUUAGAAAGUAAAAAAAUUGACUUGGAACAUGUAAUUUUGUUCUUCGGGUCUAUAAAGUAUAUUAAGAACUAUAAAGUUCUUAAUACACUUUACAGUCAAUGGAGCCAAUCCAGAAUCACACAUUGAACCCAGUUGUCACUGCUCUCUAGUCUCCUUUAACCUGGAGCACUUCCUUGGCCUUUCCCUGACUUUUCUAAAAUUGGCACUUUUUAAGAUUACAGAGCAGUCAGUUUGAGGAAUGUCUCCCUAUCUGGGUUUGUAAAAACUGCUUAAGGGUGGUGUCUGACCUCCUUUCACUUCACAAAGGGGAAGGAGAAUCAAGAUCAACAACCCAAGGAUGAUUUCCAUGAGGUGGAGGUCAGACAUGCCUCCUCUCUCUGCUAUCUUUACUAGUUCUGAAACCAACUAUCCCUCCCACAGCGCUCUACUUCUCUGCUUGGUUCGAUAAUUCAUUGCAAUGGCCUCACAGAACUCACAGACAAUACUCACAAUUAUGGGGUUUAUUAGGGAAGUAACAAUUACAGUUCAGGCUCAGGAACACUCAGGAUACAGCUCUUCCUUCAGGAUAGCCUCUUCCUAGCCAUGCUUGCAGGCAUCCCUCUCCCUGGCCCUGGCCCUAGCCCUAAAAGGCCUCUGCCCAAAGGCACUCAGUGUUCACUCUCCGUGGGCCAGGAAGCCCAACACGUAGUCUCCUGCUGCUGGGUCUCUACUUUCGGUCUCUCCUGCCACCACUUCUCACUGCCCUCAGUGUUACAGCUCUCUCUCCCUCUCCGCCUCUUGGUUCCAGGAGCUUCUCAGUGGAGGGAUCGUGGGUCCAAAGGAUGUGCUGGCUCUUCUUCCUAGGUGGUGGUAGGCUCCUCUGUGGCUCAUUUCAAACCCAGCGGGAUGGCAAAACCAACCAAUUCCUUUGGUGGGCCACAAUUACCCUAUCACACAGUUCCACCCAAUCACUUGAGUGGGAAUUACAAGACCAUGGCGAGAAAGACCACACGAAAGUGAUCCAUCACACGACAGGAUUUGUCCAAGGUUUUCCCAUGAUUACAUUCAGGUUUUGUAUUUUGGCCAGAAUAUCAUAGAGGUGAUGAUAAGUUCUUCUUGUUGCAUUCUGUCAGGUUGUACAUGAACUUAAUGUGUCCCAUUACUGGUGGUUGUAAAAGGGUGUUAGUAGUAAUGUCCGAACUUGUUUAAGACCAGGGAGAUAAUAACCAGGAUCAGCCCAAAGCUGAUUCCCGUGAGGUGGUGGUCAGAUAUACCUCUGCCCUCCAACCUCUUUUUUUUCUUUUUAACAAUUCUGACACCAGCUGUCCCUCCCAUGACACUCUCUACUUCUCUUCUGGUUUUAGUAAUCUGUUGCAACGGCCACACAGAAUUCACAAACCAUACCUAUAGUGAAGUGGUUUAAUAAGGAAGUAACAGGGUACAAUUUGGGAUCAGGAUCAAUAGGUUACAAGUCGGGAUCAGGGUCAGGAAGCAGGUAGGCAAAGUCUCCCUUCUUCAGUGCAGGCCAACUCUCUCAGCAACUCUCUUGGCUGUGCAGUGUUCCUCUCAGCCCCCUGAGGACAAGCUCCUCUUGGCCCCCUCAGGAAGGGCUGCUCUUGGCCCUGCUGUCCAUCACCACCAACUCUACCACAGGACCCCUCCCAGGCCUGUCUUCACCAUCUCUGCUGUCGGGCCCCUUUUGGGUCUCUUGCUGUCUUCAAUAUUACAGCCCUUGAUGCACGGUAUGGCUCUUUUAGGAGCUGCUUCUUCUCGCUUUCUUCCUUUUGCUUCUUCCUGCUCUUCCUGCUUCUUUCUGUCUCUAAAACCUCUGUGAGGUUGGCCGCUUAUAUACACAAACUCUUGAUCAAUUUCAAGGUAUGGUCUCCUUCAGCAGGGGGCCACGAACUCCCCUCUUGGUAGGCCACAGAUACUUAAUUUGCAUAGUAGGCUACAGACUUGUCAUUUGCAUAGUCUAUUGACCAAUCCCUGGAAGGUAUAUACCAACCACAGGGCAAGCUGCAGUCAAGGAAAAGUUGAUCACCAUGGACAGUUUAUCCAAGAAAAGUCAAUCACCAUGGACAAGGUAACAAACCCUCAGGGGCAGAAAACUAGGGGAAAGGUAACUCUUCAGGGCUUAGGGGGAAAAUUUCUCAAAAUGUUUUUCCAAAGAACCAAAGCAAAAGGCCACAUACAGAAACUCAUUUCACCACAGUGGUGUUAACUUUGAUCACUUGGUUAAUAUGGACUUUGUCAGGUUUUUUCUCUGUAAAGUUACUUUUUUCUCCCUUUGUAAGGAAUACGUAUGUUGUGGGGAGAUACUUUGAAAUUGUGUGAAAUUCCAGUCCUUAUCUGACUUUUACCCACUAGAUUUAGGAUCCUCUGAUAUUUCUACCUGAGAUUAUCAUAACUAUGAUGGUUGCCAGAUGGUGAAUUUUCUAAAUUAAUUUUUUUCUUACAUUUGUAAGUUGACGUUCAGUUGUAAAGAAAUCUUUCUCUUCUCUGCAUUUGUUUAUCCACUGAUUUAUUUAUAUCAGUAUUGACUCAUGCAUUCCUGUUUUAAUGAAUGGGUUAUAAUCCAUUGUUGGCAUUAUUUACUAUUUAUUUACUUACCAUUAUUUAUUUCGAUGCUUAAAUUAUCCCAAUAUUGUCAGUUGGAGCUCCUGCAAGGUGACUUCUGUAUCCUUUUAACACGUCCCCAUUCAUUCAUUGAGAAUCUUCUGGCACAAUAUAAUGUUCCAGGCUUGUCCUGUUCUGUACCUGCCCUGGCCCUGUAAUCAACCAUUUCCUCCAAGGAGCCCUGGUUCCUUUAGUGGAGAAUGGUACUUAGAAACCAAGAUCUGGGCUCUGUGUGUAUUCAUUCCUGCUGGGGUGUCAGUCCUACUAGACCCUUUCAGCAGAUCAGACUAGGAGAUAUAUGUACGUCCUUAAAAUCCCAUUGCUGUUGAGUCAGUUCUGCCCCAUAGUGACUCUAUAGGACACAGUAGAACUGCCCCAUAGGGUUUCCAAGGAGUGGCUGGUGGAUUUAAACUGUAGACCUUUUGGUUAGCAGCCAAGCUCUUUAACAACUACACCACCAGGGCCCCAAAAAACAGAAUGUUGCAUUGGCUGGGAAUCGAACCCAGGCCUUCCUUGUGGCAGGUGAGAAUUCUGUAUGUAUUACAUUUUCAUCUACAUUUAUUUCUAUAUUUAUGUAUAUAUUUUGUGAGCUGUGGGUUCACACUAACACCUCCCACUCCAGUACAAUACCACAGGGUCCACUCUAGCCCUUACUCUUUGCAUAUUUGUACCUCUGUUCUCCAACAGUGAGAAACCUGGCUCCCAUUGCUCUCAACAUGUCUACUGAUUUGCUCAAUUUCCCUAUGUAGUCAAUCUCCUGAUUGCUAAAGGUCAUUUCCCUACAGGCCCAGAGGAAAACUCUCCUCAUGGGAUCCCUAACCCCUGCUGGCUGCCUUCUACCACCCCCAAACCCUCCUUGUGCAGCCCCCAUUUCUGCCCUGCUGUCUUCCUUCUCCAUUUACUUUUCACAUGUUAAAAACAUUUACUGUCUUCCUCUGGGAAACCUUCCAUUGCUGUGCUUUAAACACAUAAAAACACACAAGCCUUUGUGUUUUUAUUUCAGGGUACUCAAUUCCAUUUCUCAGUGACAAUCACUUGUGAUAGAAUGAGUUGUUUUUUUGUUUUUCUGCUUUUUUCCAUGUUCCUGAGAUUUAAGGCUGAAGUAUACAUAUUUUGAAAUUAGCAUUAUAGCAUGUUUUCUUCUUUCUCUUAAUUUUAAAAGCAGAUGAUCUGCAGCACAGUGUAAUCACUUACUAAAAGGUGAUUAAUUAGAGCUUUUUGCAGUUCUCCUGGAAAACUAAGUAACUGAUUAAUAUACUGUGGCCUUCAAUGGUCUUUUCUUCCACUGGGUCUUUUCUCCCAUUGGAGUCCUAUUCAUGGAAAAGGGCUCUGCCUUUGAUCAAGACCCAUGUGACAUGUAGUGUCCCACCCACUUUUUCUGUCUCUUGGGUUUCUCUGGCUUUGCUAAAAGUAUGUGCUGCUCUCCAGUGGGAACUUGUGUAAGGGUGAAAGGUGAAAGAAAUAUUCAUUGAAGCAAAAUAGCUGGGAUAUCAACCUUAAAUGUGAGGUAGUGCAUUCAGGAAGUGUGAUGGGGUAAAAAAUUUUGUCUCAUUUGGUUUUUUUACAGGUAGGUAAGCCUUGUAAGAGUAUUUAUGGUUUCCUUGUGAUAGUUAAGGAGUACUAGUGGGUGUGUGUAUGUGUCUGUGUGUGUGUGUGUGUCUGUGUGAGUUUUGCAAGAAAUCUUGCCACCCAUGACCGGUGGGACAGACAGGUACCCACCAAUCCUGGCACCUGAGACCCCCUGAGGUUUGUGGGACCCAUAUAUUCCCAAAUAAUAUUUCUCAAAAUUCAUAUUACCAACCAAAAAUUUAAACACACUCCAUGACUCAGCAUGCGUCCAUUAAUGAAAACAAAUGGCAUCCAAAAAAAAAAAAAAAAAUUCAAA